AUUGAACGCUGGCGGCAGGCCUAACACAUGCAAGUCGAGCGGAUGAAGGGAGCUUGCUCCUGGAUUCAGCGGCGGACGGGUGAAUAAUGCCUAGGAAUCUGCCUGGUAGUGGGGGAUAACGUCCGGAAACGGGCGCUAAUACCGCAUACGUCCUGAGGGAGAAAGUGGGGGAUCUUCGGACCUCACGCUAUCAGAUGAGCCUAGGUCGGAUUAGCUAGUUGGUGGGGCAAAGGCCUACCAAGGCGACGAUCCGUAACUGGUCUGAGAGGAUGAUCAGUCACACUGGAACUGAGACACGGUCCAGACUCCUACGGGAGGCAGCAGUGGGGAAUAUUGGACAAUGGGCGAAAGCCUGAUCCAGCCAUGCCGCGUGUGUGAAGAAGGUCUUCGGAUUGUAAAGCACUUUAAGUUGGGAGGAAGGGCAGUAAGUUAAUACCUUGCUGUUUUGACGUUACCAACAGAAUAAGCACCGGCUAACUUCGUG
rnacentral:rRNA from 1 species